ensembl:ncRNA F56F4.10 ncRNA
AAAAAAAUCCGUCGAACCGGAUUCGAACCAGUGACCUAAGGAUAUCUGCGAACUCUACAGUCCUCCGCUCUACCAACUGAGCUAUCGACGGCACGGCACAGAGGCGCCUAGAGGGCAAUUAAAAGUGUCUUUAUUGACAAGACAGAAAAGAAUGAUAGCAGAGGAGGAGUGACGUCACUCCGGGGGUCCAUGAUAUUUUCAGA